rnacentral:rRNA from 1 species
UACGUAGGGUGCGAGCGUUAAUCGGAAUUACUGGGCGUAAAGCGUGCGCAGGCGGUUUUGUAAGUCAGAUGUGAAAUCCCCCGGGCUUAACCUGGGAACUGCGUUUGAAACUACAAGGCUAGAGUGUAGCAGAGGGGGGUGGAAUUCCACGUGUAGCAGUGAAAUGCGUAGAGAUGUGGAGGAACACCGAUGGCGAAGGCAGCCCCCUGGGCUAACACUGACGCUCAGGCACGAAAGCGUGGGGAGCAAACAGG